rnacentral:tRNA from 1 species
UCCCUGAUGGUCUAGCGGUUAGGAUUCCUGGUUUUCACCCAGGUGGCCGGGUUCAACUCCCGGUCAGGGAG